AUACACUUACAACAUAAACAUUCACGCAAUAAAUAAAUGAGUAAAUACUCUAAAUCAAUAAUAUCAUCACAUUCAUCAUAUAAUAAUACAAAGGUAAGCUUCCCAUACCUUAGCCAAUAAAAAAAAUAAGUUUUCCCCUUUCUUUUACAGACUCUCUUUCUCUUCAAUUUCUCUAUUUAAUGCUAUCUUUUUCCUUCUCUCACAAAAGUAACCUAACUCUUUUUAUAUUUUCCUUUCUUUAUAAAUAAAACUUAUAACUGCUCUUGCUAAAAUCUUUCACCCACUAUUCCUAAAAUCUUUCAACCACUAUUUAAAAACAUAACUGCUAUAUCUUUUAUUUUCUUUUUCUGCUUAUUUUAUUUAGUGUAACCCUCAGCCAAAAAUAAAAAAAUAAAAUUUCAAUAUUUCUCAUAAACCUCCCUCUCUAGGAUUUGAACUCACACUCAUACAACCUUAUACACACAAAUCAACCAACAAACCAAUACACCACAUUGAUAAUUUCAGACAUUAUAAUUGUAACAAAUGAACAAUAACUUAUGUUGCAUUUAAAUUAACAAAACCAUUAAAUAACAUACAUUUUUUUAUGUUCUAAUCAAGACUAGAGCACAUAACCAUUCAACUUUCAUUAAAAAUUACUCACAUCUCAUCACUUUAUUAUUCAUACGCCCUAUAUUUUUCUCGGGUCUUACAUUCACCCCACCUCAAAAAAUUUUCGCCCUCGAAAAUUGAUCUAUUCAACAAAAAGAUAAGGAUAUUCUUUCUUCAUGAACUCUUCUAACUCCCAAGUCAUCUCUUGUGUAACUUCAUCCCAAAGCACCUUUACUGUACGAAUGUCUUUGCCUCUUAACUUCUUGGUUUGCAUAUCUAAUACUCGUACCGGUCCAGCCUCUAUGGUUAAAUCUUCCUGAACUUGGACGUCAUCCACCUC
rnacentral:lncRNA from 1 species